ACCUAACAAAAAUCAGCAAUAACAAAAUAGAAAUUCGAACCUUUUGAGAGUUGCAGCGAACAAAGCAGUCAGGCAGAGGCGAUUGUCGUGAAUCCAAUUAUGGAAGAGGGAGAGAGGAAGGCUGCUGUAACUUGUAAGCAAGAGGGAGAGAAUCAGAGAAGAGAACAGAGAAGGAGAGAGGCUGGAUGGAAGAGAGAAGAAGAAAGAGAAA
rnacentral:lncRNA from 1 species